AUUGAACGCUGGCGGCAUGCUUUACACAUGCAAGUCGAACGGCAGCGCGGGCUUCGGCCUGGCGGCGAGUGGCGAACGGGUGAGUAAUACAUCGGAACGUGCCCAGUAGUGGGGGAUAGCUCGGCGAAGGCCGGAUUAAUACCGCAUACGACCUGAGGGUGAAAGCGGGGGAUCUUCGGACCUCGCGCUAUUGGAGCGGCCGAUGGCAGAUUAGCUAGUUGGUGGGGUAAAGGCCUACCAAGGCGACGAUCUGUAGCUGGUCUGAGAGGACGACCAGCCACACUGGGACUGAGACACGGCCCAGACUCCUACGGGAGGCAGCAGUGGGGAAUUUUGGACAAUGGGCGAAAGCCUGAUCCAGCAAUGCCGCGUGUGUGAUGAAGGCCUUCGGGUUGUAAAGCACUUUUGGCGGGAACGAAAAGGACUGUGCCAAUACCACGGUUCGAGGACGGUACCCGCAGAAUAAGCACCGGCUAACUACGU
rnacentral:rRNA from 1 species